GAUGAAGAACGCAGCGAAAUGCGAUAAGUAAUGUGAAUUGCAGAAUUCAGUGAAUCAUCGAAUCUUUGAACGCACAUUGCGCCCGCCAGUAUUCUGGCGGGCAUGCCUGUUCGAGCGUCAUUACAACCCUCAGGCCCCCGGGCCUGGCGUUGGGGGUCGGCGGAAGCCCCCUGCGGGCACAACGCCGUCCCCCAAAUACAGUGGCGGUCCCGCCGCAGCUUCCAUUGCGUAGUAGCUAACACCUCGCAACUGGAGAGCGGCGCGGCCACGCCGUAAAACACCCAACUUCUGAAUGUUGACCUCGAAUCAGGUAGGAAUACCCGCUGAACUUAAGCAUAUCAAUAAGCGGAGGA
rnacentral:misc_RNA from 1 species